rnacentral:rRNA from 1 species
GAUUGAACGCUGGCGGCGUGGAUUAGGCAUGCGAGUCGUGCGGGUGUAGCAAUACACCAGCGGCGAAAGGGACAGUAAUGUAUAGAUUAUCUGCCCUCAGGACGGGAAUAGCGGCGGGAAACUGCCGGUAAUGCCCGAUAAUGUCUCCGGACCAAAGGUGUGAGUCCGCCUGGGGAUGAGUCUAUAUCCUAUUAGCUAGUUGGUAAGGUAAUGGCUUACCAAGGCUGUGAUGGGUAGCGGGUGUGAGAGCAUGACCCGCGUCAUUGGGACUGAGACACUGCCCAGACACCUACGGGUGGCUGCAGUCGAGAAUCUUCGGCAAUGGACGCAAGUCUGACCGAGCGACGCCGCGUGCGGGAUGAAGGCCUUCGGGUUGUAAACCCCUUUCAGCAGGGACGAAGCGAGAGUGACGGUACCUGCAGAAGAAGCGCCGGCUAACUACGUGCCAGCAGCCGCGGUAACACGUAGGGCGCAAGCGUUGUCCGGAAUUAUUGGGCGUAAAGAGCUCGUAGGUGGUUUGUUACGUCUGCUGUGAAAACCUAGGGCUUAACCCUGGGCUUGCAGUGGAUACGGGCAGACUAGAGGUAGGUAGGGGAGAAUGGAAUUCCUGGUGUAGCGGUGAAAUGCGCAGAUAUCAGGAGGAACACCGGUGGCGAAGGCGGUUCUCUGGGCCUUACCUGACACUGAGGAGCGAAAGCGUGGGGAGCGAACAGGAUUAGAUACCCUGGUAGUCCACGCCGUAAACGUUGGGCGCUAGGUGUGGGGUCCUUCCACGGAUUCCGUGCCGCAGCUAACGCAUUAAGCGCCCCGCCUGGGGAGUACGGCCGCAAGGCUAAAACUCAAAGGAAUUGACGGGGGCCCGCACAAGCGGCGGAGCAUGUUGCUUAAUUCGACGCAACGCGAAGAACCUUACCAAGGUUUGACAUACAGGGAAAAGCCGUAGAGAUAUGGUGUCCGUAAGGGUCCUGUACAGGUGGUGCAUGGCUGUCGUCAGCUCGUGUCGUGAGAUGUUGGGUUAAGUCCCGCAACGAGCGCAACCCUCGUUCUAUGUUGCCAGCGGAUAAUGCCGGGGACUCAUAGGAGACUGCCGGGGUCAACUCGGAGGAAGGUGGGGAUGACGUCAAGUCCUCAUGCCCCUUAUAUCUUGGGCUGCAAACAUGCUACAAUGGCCGGUACAGAGGGCUGCGAAAUCGCAAGAUGGAGCGAAUCUCAAAAAGCCGGUCUCAGUUCGGAUUGGGGUCUGCAACUCGACCCCAUGAAGUCGGAGUCGCUAGUAAUCGCGAAUCAGCAACGUCGCGGUGAAUACGUUCCCGGGCCUUGUACACACCGC